UCCCUAGUGGCUCAGAGGGUAAAGAAUCUGCCUGCAAUGCUGGAGACCUAGGUUCAAUCCCUGGUCUGGGAA
rnacentral:tRNA from 1 species